AGACCCGAAACCCGGUGAUCUAGCCAUGGGCAGGUUGAAGGUUGGGUAACACUAACUGGAGGACCGAACCGACUAAUGUUGAAAAAUUAGCGGAUGACCUGUGGCUGGGGGUGAAAGGCCAAUCAAACCGGGAGAUAGCUGGUUCUCCCCGAAAGCUAUUUAGGUAGCGCCUCGUGAAUUCAUCUCCGGGGGUAGAGCACUGUUUCGGCUAGGGGGCCAUCCCGGCUUACCAACCCGAUGCAAACUGCGAAUACCGGAGAAUGUUAUCACGGGAGACACACGGCGGGUGCUAACGUCCGUCGUGAAGAGGGAAACAACCCAGACCGCCAGCUAAGGUCCCAAAGUCAUGGUUAAGUGGGAAACGAUGUGGGAAGGCCCAGACAGCCAGGAUGUUGGCUUAGAAGCAGCCAUCAUUUAAAGAAAGCGUAAUAGCUCACUGGUCGAGUCGGCCUGCGCGGAAGAUGUAACGGGGCUAAACCAUGCACCGAAGCUGCGGCAGCGACACUCAGGUGUUGUUGGGUAGGGGAGCGUUCUGUAAGCCUGCGAAGGUGGCCUGUGAGGGUUGCUGGAGGUAUCAGAAGUGCGAAUGCUGACAUAAGUAAC
rnacentral:rRNA from 1 species